rnacentral:rRNA from 1 species
UACGUAGGGUGCGAGCGUUGUCCGGAAUUAUUGGGCGUAAAGGGCGCGUAGGCGGGCCGCCGCGUCCGGGGUGAAAUCCCACGGCUCAACCGUGGAACGGCCUCGGAUACGGGCGGCCUCGAGGGGGGUAGGGGCAUGCGGAACUGUGAGUGGAGCGGUGAAAUGCGUUGAUAUUCACAGGAACUCCGGUGGCGAAGGCGGCGUGCUGGACCCCUUCUGACGCUGAGGCGCGAAAGCCAGAGAGCAAACGGG